CUGGGGACACUGGGGGCUGUCAGGAUUUUGGGGCACUGGAGACACUGGGGACAUUGGGACUGUCAGGAUUUUGGAACACUGGGGGCACUGGGGGCUGUCAGGUUUUGGGGGCACUGGGGACUGUCAGGUUUUGGGGGCACUGGGAGCUGUCAGGUUUUGGGGGCACUGGGAGCUGUCAGGUUUUUGGGGUGCUGGGGGCUGUCAGGUUUUAGGGGCACUGGGAGCUGUCAGGUUUUUGGGGCACUGGGACUGUCAGGAUUUUGGGGCGCUGGGGGCUGUCAGGUUUUUGGGGUGCUGGGAGCUGUCAGGUUUUUGGGGUGCUGGGAGCUGUCAGGUUUUUGGGGUGCUGGGAGCUGUCAGGUUUUUGGGAUGCUGGGAGCUGUCAGGUUUUUGGGGUGCUGGGAGCUGUCAGGAUUUUGGGGUGCUGGGAGCUGUCAGGAUUUUGGGGUACUGGGGGGGUUAUUUGGCAUCACUGGGGGUUCAGGGGACUUGGGACAUAAGGGAAGGUACAAAGAGGCAAACUGGGAUUUGCAUAGAAAGGGCACUGGGCAGACUGGGAUUGGCACAAAUGGGGCACUGGACAGACUCAGAGGAGCACGGCACAUACUGGGAGGGGCACUGGGCAUACUGGGACAUACUGGGAGAGGCACUGGGCAUACUGGGAUGCACUGGGAGAGGCACU